AUCCCAUGACGAGGACAAGUUAAGAUAUAGUCCUAAAGACAUUCCCAGGCUUUUGCGACUGAUUCUGCUAGAAACUUGAGAUAUGGUUCCGAAGGGC
rnacentral:snoRNA from 1 species